ACAUGCCUACAACAUAGCAUUAAUGCACCGGAUCGCAUUAGAAAUCCGUAGUUAAGUGCGUUCGAGCUAGAGUAGUACUGGGAUGGGUGACCACUCAAGAAGUCCUAGUAUUUUACAUGCC
rnacentral:rRNA from 1 species